AUUGAACGCUGGCGGCAGGCCUAACACAUGCAAGUCGAGCGGAUGAAGGGAGCUUGCUCCUGGAUUCAGCGGCGGACGGGUGAGUAAUGCCUAGGAAUCUGCCUGGUAGUGGGGGAUAACGUCCGGAAACGGGCGCUAAUACCGCAUACAUCCUGAGGGAGGAAGUGGGGGAUCUUCGGACCUCACGCUAUCAGAUGAGCCUAGGUCGGAUUAGCUAGUUGGUGGGGUAAAGGCCUACCAAGGCGACGAUCCGUAACUGGUCUGAGAGGAUGAUCAGUCACACUGGAACUGAGACACGGUCCUGACUCCUACGGGAGGCAGCAGUGGGGAAUAUUGGACAAUGGGCGAAAGCCUGACCCAGCCAUGCCGCGUGUGUGAAGAAGGUCUUCGGAUUGUAAAGCACUUUAAGUUGGGAGGAAGGGCAGUAAGUUAAUACCUUGCUGUUUUGACGUUACCAACAGAAUAAGCACCGGCUAACUUCGUG
rnacentral:rRNA from 1 species